rnacentral:rRNA from 1 species
GGAUUAGAUACCCUGGUAGUCUACGCCGUAAACGAUGGUCACUAGCUGUCCGACCCAAUUGAGGGUUGGGUGGUUAAGCGAAAGUGAUAAGUGACCCACCUGGGGAGUACGUUCGCAAGAAUGAAACUCAAAGGAAUUGACGGGGGCCCGCACAAGCGGUGGAGCAUGUGGUUUAAUUCGAUGAUACGCGAGGAACCUUACCAGGGCUUAAAUGCAGUUCGACAGGCCGGGAAACCGGUUUUUCUUCGGACGGAUUGCAAGGUGCUGCAUGGCUGUCGUCAGCUCGUGCCG